CCUACGGGCGGCAGCAGUGGGGAAUAUUGCACAAUGGGGGAAACCCUGAUGCAGCGACGCCGCGUGAGCGAUGAAGUAUUUCGGUAUGUAAAGCUCUAUCAGCAGGGAAGAAAAUGACGGUACCUGACUAAGAAGCCCCGGCUAACUACGUGCCAGCAGCCGCGGUAAUACGUAGGGGGCAAGCGUUAUCCGGAUUUACUGGGUGUAAAGGGGGCGUAGGCGGUCCUGCAAGCCAGAUGUGAAAGCCCGGGGCUCAACCCCGGGACUGCAUUUGGAACUGUAAGGCUAGAGUAUCGGAGAGGCAGGCGGAAUUCCUAGUGUAGCGGUGAAAUGCGUAGAUAUUAGGAGGAACACCAGUGGCGAAGGCGGCCUGCUGGACGAUGACUGACGUUGAGGCUCGAAAGCGUGGGGAGCAAACAGGAUUAGAUACCCCAGUAGUC
rnacentral:rRNA from 1 species